CGGCAAACAUUUUUAUUUGUUUUUUUAUACAUGAAUUGCAGUUGGGCCCAGGCGAAUUGAAACAAAGUGUGUACGUCCAACAUCGGAUGGGACCCAACCAAGUCCACAUCGAUGUGAUUUCACACUGGAGAGAAACCGCAGCUUGGUCCAAGCGCAGGUGAAUUUAAACAAAGCAUUACACACCUCAAUGUGAUGUAACACCGAUGAGGACUUGGUUGGGUCCCAUCAGAUGUUUGACUACUUUGUUUAAAUUCACCCGGGCUCAGACAAAGCUGGGGUGAAUUUAAACAAAGUAUGACACACCUCAGUGUGAUGCAACAUCGAUGAGGACUUGGUUGAGUCCCAUCAGAUGUUUCAAUACUUUGCUUAAAUUCACCCGGGCUUAGACAAAGCUGGGGUUUCCCUCCUGUGUGACUUCACAUCGAUCUGGACUUGGUCGGGCGCCAUCAGAUGUUUGACGUGCAUACUUUGUCUUCACAAUGUAAUACAUUUUAUUUUGCAGUUGUUUUUUUUGGGUUUUUAUAUGCUAUUUUCUUUUCUUUCCUUUUUUUUUUCUUAGCGCACACACGACCCACACUGGAACCGGGCCGCAAAUGUAGACAUCUCCUUCAUUCUACGGUUCAGCCACUUGUUGACCCGGGGCCUGAGGCUCGUCCCCUCAGCCUGAGCUGUGGCUUCCCCCUCCUCCUCAGCCUCGAUGACCAGAUCCUGAUGUUCAGGGGUGUUCGGGGGUGCGUCGGUGGUGAUGACGGCCUUUGGGUCGGCCCAGGCCAUCUUGAUUCGCCUAAAGGUGUUCUGGCGUGAAGGGCGGCCCAAAGGCUUCUCCUCCUCCUGCUCCGUCAGUGCUGUGGUAGCUGUUUCGACCCUCUUCUUUCUUAGUGCCCUCACCCGGACCCUCACGUUCCCCAAGACCUGGGACAGGUCCUUUCUCGGGCCC
ensembl:lncRNA